rnacentral:lncRNA from 1 species
AGAGCUUGAGAGAAACAAAGAGAAGAAGCUGGAAAUUGGAAAAGGAGGACAUGAUUUUUGUAAAUUUUUGCAAGAAUUCAUUGAAAUAAGUUAAAGUAGCAAAGGUAAGCAACAUACCCUUUAGUAAUUUCGUUUUUCUCUCUUGUUCUUGCAUGAGGAGAAGAAAACCUCCAAGUUUAAAAUUCUAGGGUUCAUGUAAAUAUUUUAGGGGAGUAAUUGUUCAUGUGAAUUUCGAGAUUAAUUGCAUGAUAAUGGCUUGAUUUGCUGAUAAAUAAAAGGAAUAAAUUGAUUUGAAACUAUGGGUUUUGGGAUUGCAACAGGGCAGGCACUUCGGCAGCCAUAGUUUGACUUUCCACCGUUGGAUUAGAUUUCUUUUUGGAUAUGUUAUUAUACUCAAUGUCACCUACAUUCUGACUGGAGGGAUUGUAAAUAUCAGAUUUGGUUUGAGGGCUGUCACCGGAGCAACAUUUCUGGAAAAUCACCCUUCAAGACAGCCUUGUUCGUCAGCCGUUAUAUCAUUGUUUUCACCGUUGGAUUGAUCUAGAUUUUGGAUAUGUUGUUCAUCCCGAUGUUAUAUAAAUUAUGAACGGUUUAGAUCGGAAAAGAACACUCCUGCCAGAAAUUGUGCUUCCCAAACAGCAGGUCUCCAAAUUUCAGGUCAGUCCGGUAUUGUUCUGAUAUCAGGAGUUUUAACCGUUGGAUGUAUGUUAAUUUUGGAUAUGUUAUUCUAAUGAUGAUGAUGUAUAGUUCCACCGUUUGGAUUUAUUGAAUUCUAAAUUUACAGAAUGAUGUUUUAAGUUUGGUUUGAGAAAUAUUGAAUGAAAAUAUGAGGUUUAGCAUAAAAAGUAUGUAUUGGGACUAAGGAUAAUGGCAAUGGGUUUAAUGAUGAUGAUUGUGUUUGUGUUAUGUUUGAGUCAUGUUUGAUGUGUUGAUAAGUGAUGGUAUAGUUAAAUUCUAUAAAGAAUAGUGAUUGACUAAUACUUUGGUUGUGUUAGAAUGGGAAAUCAUGUUGUAAGUUGAAUUAUGAUAUAAGGAAUCAUUUUGAGUGUGCUUUUGGAAAAAUAUGGCAUGUGUAGUCAUUGAUGAAAUUUAAGUUAAAUUACAUAGUUUGGUGAUAGAUUAAAUGUCUUGGGACAAAAGAAAAUCGGUGACGAAAAGUCAUGCCCUUUGGACAUUGAAGAUCAUUGAUGAAGAAUUGAAUUAAAUGGGAGUUUAAUGUUAGUGUAAAUAAAUUCUAAUGUAAAUGAAUUUAAAUGACAAGUAAGAAAAUAAAUACAUUCAUGGAAAUUGUUUAGGGAAGUAUUUGAUUUUGUGAAUUUAUGAAUGUUAUGAAUAAAUCGGGAAGAUUCAAUAAUGAUUCAGGAUGUUAUAUUAAAAAUGUAGGAGAAGCAUUCACUCGACUUCUUAGGAGCUCAUAUAGUAGGAGCUUAAGGAGGGACCGCAAGAGGGGCACAACAACAACAAG